UGAAAGGGGGUAGCUGCCCUAACCCGUUUUAGGGAGACUUGGACCCGUUAACCCAUAAACUUGACCCGCUUGUAUCUUCUUCAUCGGAGCUCCGUUUUGGGUGAUUUUGGUGUCCAUGGAAAGCUCUUGACGAACCCUAUAUCUCUGUAGUGUUAGAUUUCCCAAUUUCUUUUCCAUCUUUGCAGUUCGAAGCCACAAAGCCCACGACUUUUCUGGCGGUUUUAUCAUUUUUCCGGUGGUUCCGGCAAUCAUUUCCUUCAAGUGAGGUUCUAGAUAGAAGUUCAUGUCGGUGGCUCACGAGGACUUCAUGGCGGAUUCUGACAGACAUCCACCAGUGUAGGGUUUCUUUUAUGAUAUGUACAAUUAGUAAUUAGACAUCUGGACUGCAUCCUGAUGCCCACGCUCUGGUUAUGUGUGUUAUUUACUCUAAACAUUUACACUCGUACUUAUGCUAGUCUAGUGUAAAUUAGUUAGUAGGUUGUUAUUUAUCUGUAUUUUCAUAUCAUGUUCACUUCCGCACAGCACACGUGUCUACGUCAUCCUUUCGUGACGACUAGCAUGCCUCGAUUGGAGUUGAGGUGUGUUAGGUCAUGUUUUUCUUUUAAAAUUAAUAAAAUAAUAUAUUAUAUUUAGAGUGCACUCACAA